rnacentral:rRNA from 1 species
AAUGAACGCUGGCGGCAGGCCUAACACAUGCAAGUCGAGCGAAGCCUUCGGGUUUAGUGGCGGACGGGUGAGUAACGCGUGGGAACGUGCCCUUUGGUUCGGAAUAGCCCUGGGAAACUGGGAGUAAUACCGAAUGUGCCCUUCGGGGGAAAGAUUUAUCGCCAAAGGAUCGGCCCGCGUUGGAUUAGGUAGUUGGGUGGGGUAAUGGCCCACCAAGCCGACGAUCCAUAGCUGGUUUGAGAGGAUGAUCAGCCACACUGGGACUGAGACACGGCCCAGACUCCUACGGGAGGCAGCAGUGGGGAAUCUUAGACAAUGGGGGAAACCCUGAUCUAGCCAUGCCGCGUGAUCGAUGAAGGCCUUAGGGUUGUAAAGAUCUUUCAGAUGGGAAGAUAAUGACGGUACCAUCAGAAGAAGCCCCGGCUAA